rnacentral:misc_RNA from 1 species
GAUGAAGAACGUAGCAAAAUGCGAUAAGUAAUGUGAAUUGCAGAAUUCAGUGAAUCAUCGAAUCUUUGAACGCACAUUGCGCCCGCCAGUAUUCUGGCGGGCAUGCCUGUUCGAGCGUCAUUUCAACCCUCAAGCCCUCGGGUUUGGUGUUGGGGAUCGGCGAGCCUUUCUGGCAAGCCGGCCCCGAAAUCUAGUGUCGGUCUCGCUGCAGCCUCCAUUGCGUAGUAGUAAAACCCUCGCAACUGGAACGCGGCGCGGCCAAGCCGUUAAACCCCCAACUUCUGAAUGUUGACCUCGGAUCAGGUAGGAAUACCCGCUGAACUUAAGCAUAUCAAUAAGCGGAGGA